GCCGGGUGUGGUGGUGCACGCCUGUAAUCCCGGCUACUCCGGAGGCUGAGGCAGGAUAAUCGCUUGAACCCAGGAGGUGGAGGUUGCAGUGAGCCAAGACUGUGCCACUGCACUCCAGCCUGAGUGACAGAGUGAGACCCUGUCUCAA
rnacentral:SRP_RNA from 1 species